CAAGUCCCUGGUAGGUUCGUCCUUGCUCUGAGGGAAGAGUGUGGGCCACAGGCCAUGGGGACACUCUGAGGAUGUGGGUGCUGCCCAUCUUGAAGUUUCUCCCCACCCCUCUCCGGAGCUGCUACCAUUGUCCUUUGCCCUCGGAGUGCUCUCCUCCCACCCCCGCCGCCUCUUGUUCUCUUUCUCCCUUGAGCCGUUAGAAUGGCAGGGAGCCCAGCCAGGGCCUGGACGGCGGCCUCAGCUCCCUGUUCUCAAUAAUUGUGUGUGUGUGCAUGUGUGCAUGUGUACGUGUGAGUGCCUGUGUGUGUGCAUUGUGUGUAGGGGCUGGGGCUGGAGUCGACAACAGAUCAGAGCACAGGAGUAGAGCGCUUCUGGGAGGGUGGGGCCACCCGUGAGUCACGUCCUGCACCCUGGAGCCCAGAGGACCCUUCGCUCAAACCCACCACCAGCUGGCAACACCGGACCAGACCAGCCGGAGCCGCUUUCUUCGCUGCGCAGAGGAGCCUGGGAGAAGCCAGAGGUGUAAGUCAAGCUGUGGAGGGACUGGGUGUGGCUGAGCCCCGUGACAAGUGGGAGGAGCCAGGGAUGCUUGGGAGGGGAGGCACUGUGCGCGAGAGAGGAGGGAAAGGGGAAGCGUUCGUGCCUCUCUGCCCCCUGUCCCCCUCUUGCUGCAUAGUAGCCACAUCCAUGUCUCUUGUACCCUGCAAUCUGGAGGCCACUGCCAGAAGCUGGAAAUCUCAAGUAGAGCAGCAAAAGGCUUGAGGAUGGAUUCUUGGCUCCUGGUGCAUUGCCACUCCCUGCCACCCUCCUCCUUGUCUUCUAUCUUCUCCUGGUGGCGUCAGGCCUUGCUUCGUGUCCCAACAGGAGCCUCUGGGGCUGGCACAGCCCUCACUGCCUACAACCUGGGCCUGGUGGUUCUCCUAGGGUGCCUCUGGGAGGUCAUGGUCACCCCGCUGCUGGCUAACUGCAGCUACUUCUGCCAGCCAGUGGACUACAGAUGGAGAAAGCAUGGAAUGAGGGCAUCUUCCUGGAGACAGGAAGGUAGGCACUGUGGAAUCAGCGGUGCGUAGAACAGUGAGGAUUUGGGGCUGAACCCAGCCCAGGUGGGCCAAGCCGUGGCACCAGCCGGACUGCAGUCUGAUGGAACUUCCCCUUCCUGCCCAGCAGAUGGCGAGCGUGUGCUGCUGGUGCCUCUUUCCAAAGGACGUUGAAUUGCUUGACAGGUGUUCUUUACUUUAUGAAUGAAGCCAGAGCAGCCCACCUUCCUGCAUCUCUACCACCAUGGCACCAUGCCCUGUGAUGGGUGGGCUGGAGUCAAAUAUGUAGCAGGCAGCCAGGGUCAGUUUGUGGCCACUGCUGCCCCCUCUUCCUACAGUCUCCUCACUGAGUGCCCCUUCCCUGUUGGGUUCAACACAUCUGUGCUCCUGUAAGCCCUCAGCCUCCUCGUUCUCUUCCUCAACUUCUACCACCAGACACAUCUGAGAAGCAAGCAAGAGAGGCUGAACUAGGAGCAGGACCCAGGGACUGAAACCAGCACAGCAUCCCCACAGAGAAUUGGGUGGAAGGCAGCAUGGCUUCCAGCUUACUGGUGCUGAGCAGAUUGCUCUGGGUCUCCAUUGUAUCCUCUGAAGGAAGGAGGAGGAUUGCCUUCUGUCCAGAUCUCAGGAUCAAACAAAUAGGUCCAAUUUCCUGUGCUCACUUCAGUUAGAGCACUUCUCAUGUGACUUUGUAGCUUUGUGUGCAUCUCCUUCCUCUACUAGACCUAAGCCCCUCACGGGAGGGACUCUCUUAUUCUUGAUGUUCCCCACACCUGGAAUUUCAAUAAACAUCUCAAUAAACGUGUGUGUUUGGAUCCUUGGAUCCCAUGACUGCCGUCAUAACCUUGGUGAAGAAGAGGGCUGGGAGUAGGAAAGAGGUCAAGGUUCGCUUGAUCUCUAACCCUAUAGUGGGAAAUUGUGACGGAGAAUAUUCAAGAGUGGGUGUGGGUCUGUUUGAUUUCAGGUGUAGCUGUGUAAAUAGUUAGCCCUGCAUAUAUUUUUGUCUACUCACAACUGCCUGCAUGUGUAUUCAUAGAGUUGUGUGAUUCUGUGUAUGUGCCUGGGGAGUGGGAGAGGGCCAUGUGCACAUGUCUGAAUACUUGUUUUCAAAUAUACAUGCAUGUUUCCAUUUGGGUUUCUCUCCAUUUGUGUUGUUUGCCUGCCUCUUCUGUAAGUCUCUGAAAGUGCCACAUUGGCAAAUAAAAGCCACUGGGAUCAAUAAUUCUCCUGUUCUGAUGGGAGACAUGGAAGCCCACUGAGAAAUCUCCGAAUACAUGUUCCACUAAGAGCUUCCAAAAAUAAAUGGGAAAAAAGGAGAAAUGGGGCACACCCAUCUUCUUCACAGAGAGGGAAACUGAGGACCAGCAAAGGGGAAUAUAUGACUGAGAUACUAUGGCAGAAGCAAAUAUUGGCUGAGCUGUUCAAACCCAGAAUAGGAUGGGUUUCUUGAAAGCAGUUUGCCUGGGAGCUGUCUCUAUGUCUCCAGUAUGAUGACUUUUCUCCUUUAUAAUUGCCCUUCGGCUGUUUUUCAUCUCUAGGUAAGUUCUUAUUUUGCCAUGCCUCAAUAGUCAAGAAAAUUAAAGAAUUGCUGAAGGUUAUGCAGUGCUAUUUGGGGACUGUGUCUCCAUCUGGCCUUUUAGUUAAUCAACCCAAGGCCAGGCAAGGCUACAUCCUGUGGACAGAAUACUCAGAGAAAAUUCC
rnacentral:lncRNA from 1 species